GUAAGAAAUCAGUAGAAAAUGAUUGGAGUUGACCUUCUAAUACUUUAUCCAGAAAAGCUAGCUGGUCCACGUAAUAUGUGGAAGGCAUGCUCUGUCCAAUCUCAUUUCGGGAAAGUUUUAUAAAGUGAACUUAGUAGUAAUUUGAAAUAAUAUAAUAUCAGGGUGUGCAAGAUUUAGUCAUCAGAUCAGAGUUGUUUUUUUAAUGCAGAAGUCUCAUUCUGCUUCUAUUUAAUUAUGCUAUGAAAGAUCUGGCAACCUGUUAGCCAUAAUCUUUAUUANNN
rnacentral:lncRNA from 1 species